UACGGGGGGGGCAAGCGUUGUUCGGAAUUACUGGGCGUAAAGGGUCUGUAGGUGGCUCGCUAAGUCAGACGUGAAAUCCCUCAGCUUAACUGGGGAACUGCGUCUGAGACUGGCAAGCUUGAGUGCAGGAGAGGAAUGCGGAAUUCCAGGUGUAGCGGUGAAAUGCGUAGAUAUCUGGAGGAACACCGGUGGCGAAGGCGGCAUUCUGGACUGCAACUGACACUGAGAGACGAAAGCCAGGGGAGCAAACGGG
rnacentral:rRNA from 1 species